GAGUAAAGUGAUAACAUUUCGGGAGCCGGGUUAGGAAGAAUUUACUUAUCGAGCUUGCAAGAGCUCGUGCUUUGUCACGACGGUGUCGGUGACGAGAGCGAGGAAGUUGGUUAACAGCAGUUGCGCGGAUUAUUUGGCGACCGUUGUGGAGGUGGACCAAGUGGUUCCGGUACUCGAGGAGUUGUCAGUAGUUCGGGAGUUU
rnacentral:lncRNA from 1 species